rnacentral:lncRNA from 1 species
UUUGUAAUUUCGAAAGUUGCAAGGAUUAGUUAAAGACUUAAUCGUAUUGUCAAAACUUUAUAAAGAAAACUACACUUUAUUUUAAGAAAUGAACAUUGUUUUUUCUGUAGUGCGGAUUGUUAGUGAAAUAAGUUUAAUACCCCCAAAACAUGGAAAUUGGAAUAGUAAGGCAUAGAUAACCAAAUGAGAUUGUAUGAAUACCUGUCAGUGACUUUUAUAUGUUAAUCACGAAUAACCUGAGUAGUAUUGCUGUGAAUAGUAUGGUUCACGAGAAAUUCAGAGUGCAUGAGAGUUUUAUGAUCUGGUCUUAUAUUGUAUUUUUG